CAGACCAGUACGCCUACGCCCGCCUCCUCACUCACAUUCACGCCAGUCCUCACCUUCAGACCACCGCCAAUCCGCCACUGCCUCACGACUCAUAGGGUCACGCCUGCCUAACUGAGCCCGUCAAGCCCUCAUCAGUACGCCAGUCCGCCAUUCAUCAGCUUGCCAUUUCUCCGCCAGUCACGGCUCACUCCCUCAUCGUGAUCAGAUCUGCAGGAGAGCCUUUUUGGGGGAAAUUUGAUGGCUGAAAGAACUUCUGAUUGAGGCAAAGAUAUCAUUGUGUGGGAGUCAAAUUCUAAAGGGAAGGCGGUGUUAGAAGCUUGAUUUGCUAGUUCGGCAUUGAGGUAAGUGUUUGAUCUAACUUUGGUUCGAGGGAAUAGGAUUAGGAUAUUAUUUGCUACGUGCUACAUGGUGUCGGCGUAUAGGUUUGGUGACGGUUAUCUAUGCGCCCGAGUCAAGCAUGACCGUGAGUCCUUAAUUGAAGAUGUUAAAUGCCAUAACAUGAAUUCUUGUUGCUUAAUUGACUCUUAUGAUGAAUUGUUGGAGUUAAAUGAAUUGAAAGUCUUAAAUGGAGGAGUUGAUAGUGAAAUCUUGUUAAGUUGUAUCGGAUUUUAUGUAGUUUUGCUCCCCUGUCGGGAUGAUUGGUUGUAGCUGUACCUUAGCCAGGUUUAAAGGAUCUUAUUGAGUUGUUGUAAUUCCUUGAAGUAAGAAGCUUAUGCAUGUUUGCACAAAACUUGAUAAAUAUUCGUAGGGUCGGGUUGCACGCUGCAACAUAUACUUAUUGAAGUAUUCGUAGGGUCGGGUUGCACGCCGCAACAUAUGCUUAUUGAAAUAUUCGUAGGGUCGGGUUGCACGCCACAACGAAAUUUUAAUGAAACACUUGAAAAGGGCGGGCUGCACGCCGCAGCGGAGUAUUGAUUGAAAUGGUGAUCCUGUAUUUAUGUGGAGAUAAUGAUUAUCUUCUGGUGAUUUAUCUAUUUAUUCUGUUGAUCCCCUCUCUAGCAGAUUUCCUUAUUACUAUUGUUACACCCCCAUAGCAUGUCCCCUCCCCUUUAUUAUUGCGUAGUUCUACCUUUGCUUGUUUUGUAUACAUAUAUAUAUCUUGCACAGGUUUUUAAGCUGUAGGUCCUGUCUAGCCUCAUCACUACCUCGUGAGCCGGGUUAGGCCAGACACUUACCAGCACAUGGGGUCGGAUUGUGCUGAUACUACACUUGUUGUGCUCUUUUGUGCACAGAUCCCGGAGUAGCGCAGUUCCAGCAGCAGCAGUAGACGCGGAGUUAGCCUUAUCCUCCAAAGGCUGUGAGGUAGUUCACUGGCGUCCGUGGACCGUCCAGCCUCCUCUAUUAUCUUAGUUUGUUUAUUGAAUCAAACAGACUUAUGUAUUUCUUUCUUUCAGACCCUUGUUGUAGUAAAUGAUUAGACUGUCCAUGAUAGCUGUCACACCUCCUUUUGGCGCGCACGCACCCCGAGGGAUAAAUGCGCAAGGGAGUUUUUCCACUUUAAGUGACAAUAUUCGAAAUGGGAUUAUUUAAUUGAUUUCAGAGUCGCCACU